UACGUAGGCAGCGAGCGUUGUUCGGAGUUACUGGGCGUAAAGGUGUGUAGGCGGUUUUCUAAGUUUGGUGUGAAAUCUCCCGGCUCAACCGGGAGGGUGCGCCGAAAACUGGAAGACUAGAGUGCGGGAUGGGAGAGUAGAAUUCCUGGUGUAGCGGUGAAAUGCGUAGAUAUCAAGAGGAACACCAGUGGCGAAGGCGAGUCCCUGGACAACACCUGACACUGAGGCACGAAAGCCGGGGGAGCAAACAGG
rnacentral:rRNA from 1 species